rnacentral:rRNA from 1 species
UACGUAGGGCGCAAGCGUUGUCCGGAAUUAUUGGGCGUAAAGAGCGUGUAGGCGGCCAGGUAGGUCAGCUGUGAAAACUCGAGGCUCAACCUCGAGACGUCGGUUGAAACCAUCUGGCUAGAGUCCGGAAGAGGAGAGUGGAAUUCCUGGUGUAGCGGUGAAAUGCGCAGAUAUCAGGAAGAACACCCGUGGCGAAGGCGGCUCUCUGGGACGGUACUGACGCUGAGACGCGAAAGCGUGGGGAGCGAACAGG